rnacentral:rRNA from 1 species
UAGGGAAUCUUCGGCAAUGGACGGAAGUCUGACCGAGCAACGCCGCGUGUGUGAAGAAGGUUUUCGGAUCGUAAAGCUCUGUUGUUAGAGAAGAACGUUGGUAGCAGUGGAAAAUCUACUAAGUGACGGUAACUAACCAGAAAGGGACGGCUAACUACGUGCCAGCAGCCGCGGUAAUACGUAGGUCCCGAGCGUUGUCCGGAUUUAUUGGGCGUAAGGCUAGCGCAGGCGGUUCUUUAAGUCUGAAGUUAAAGGCAGUGGCUUAACCAUUGUACGCAUUGGAAACUGGAGGACUUGAGUGCAGAAGGGGAGAGUGGAAUUCCAUGUGUAGCGGUGAAAUGCGUAGAUAUAUGGAGGAACACCGGUGGAGAAAGCGGCUCUCUGGUCUGUAACUGACGCUGAGGCUCGAAAGCGUGGGGAGCAAACAGG